rnacentral:rRNA from 1 species
CAACACCGCGUGAGUGAUGACGCCUUUUGGGGUGUAAAACUCUGUCAGGUGGGGACGAAGCCUGACGGUACCACAGAGGAAGCAUCGGCUAACUACGUGCCAGCAGCCGCGGUAAGACGUAGGAUGCAAGCGUUGUCCGGAAUUAUUGGGCGUAAAGAGUUCGUAGGCGGCAUAUCAAGUCUGGUGUUAAAGCCCGAGGCUCAACCUCGGAUCGGCACUGGAUACUGAUAAGCUAGAGUGCAGUAGAGGCAAGGGGAAUUCCCAGUGUAGCGGUGAAAUGCGUAGAUAUUGGGAGGAACACCAGUGGCGUAAGCGCCUUGCUGGGCUGUUACUGACGCUGAGGAACGAAAGCCAGGGGAGCAAAUGGGAUUAGAUACCCCAGUAGUCCUGGCCGUAAACGAUGGAUACUAGGUGUUGCGGGUAUCGACCCCUGCAGUGCCGCAGUUAACGCGAUAAGUAUCCCGCCUGGGGAGUACGCACGCAAGUGUG